rnacentral:tRNA from 1 species
UUAAUGGAAGCCAAAAAUGAGGCUUAUCACUGUUAAUGAUAGAACUGAAACACCUUUCCCGUUAAA